CUAACUCCGUGCCAGCAGCCGCGGGUAAUACGGAGGGUGCAAGCGUUAAUCGGAAUUACUGGGCGUAAAGCGCACGCAGGCGGUUUGUUAAGUCAGAUGUGAAAUCCCCGGGCUCAACCUGGGAACUGCAUCUGAUACUGGCAAGCUUGAGUCUCGUAGAGGGGGGUAGAAUUCCAGGUGUAGCGGUGAAAUGCGUAGAGAUCUGGAGGAAUACCGGUGGCGAAGGCGGCCCCCUGGACGAAGACUGACGCUCAGGUGCGAAAGCGUGGGGAGCAAACAGGAUUAGAUACCCUGGUAGUCCACGCCGUAAACGAUGUCGACUUGGAGGUUGUGCCCUUGAGGCGUGGCUUCCGGAGCUAACGCGUUAAGUCGACCGCCUGGGGAGUACGGCCGCAAGGUUAAAACUCAAAUGAAUUGACGGGGGCCCGCACAAGCGGUGGAGCAUGUGGUUUAAUUCGAUGCAACGCGAAGAACCUUACCUGGUCUUGACAUCCACGGAAGUUUUCAGAGAUGAGAAUGUGCCUUCGGGAACCGUGAGACAGGUGCUGCAUGGCUGUCGUCAGCUCGUGUUGUGAAAUGUUGGGUUAAGUCCCGCAACGAGCGCAACCCUUAUCCUUUGUUGCCAGCGGUCCGGCCGGGAACUCAAAGGAGACUGCCAGUAGAUAAACUGGAGGAAGGUGGGGAUGACGUCAAGUCAUCAUGGCCCUUACGACCAGGGCUACACACGUGCUACAAUGGCGCAUACAAAGAGAAGCGACCUCGCGAGAGCAAGCGGACCUCAUAAAGUGCGUCGUAGUCCGGAUUGGAGUCUGCAACUCGACUCCAUGAAGUCGGAAUCGCUAGUAAUCGUGGAUCAGAAUGCCACGGUGAAUACGUUCCCGGGCCUUGUACACACCGCCCGUCACACCAUGGGAGUGGGUUGCAAAAGAAGUAGGUAGCUUAACCUUCGGGAGGGCGCUUACCACUUUGUGAUUCAUGACUGGGGUGAAGUCGUAACAAGGUAACCGUAGGGGAACCUGCGGUUG
rnacentral:rRNA from 1 species